rnacentral:rRNA from 1 species
CCUACGGGAGGCAGCAGUGAGGAAUAUUGGUCAAUGGGCGAGAGCCUGAACCAGCCAAGUAGCGUGAAGGAUGAAGGAUCUAUGGUUUGUAAACUUCUUUUAUAAGGGAAUAAAGUGAGGAACGUGUUCCUUUUUGUAUGUACCAUAUGAAUAAGCAUCGGCUAACUCCGUGCCAGCAGCCGCGGUAAUACGGAGGAUGCGAGCGUUAUCCGGAUUUAUUGGGUUUAAAGGGUGCGUAGGUGGGUAAGUAAGUCAGCUGUGAAAGUUUGUGGCUCAACCAUAAAAUUGCAGUUGAUACUGGCUGACUUGAGUACAUGUGAGGUAGGCGGAAUGCGUGGUGUAGCGGUGAAAUGCUUAGAUAUCACGAAGAACUCCGAUUGCGAAGGCAGCUUACUAAACUAUCACUGACAUUGAAGCUCGAAAGUGUGGGUAUCAAACAGGAUUAGAUACCCUUGUAGUC